rnacentral:rRNA from 2 species
CUCAGUGAAUAUACUGGAGGGGCCACACCCGUUCCCAUUCCGAACACGGUCGUUAAGUCCUCCGAGGCCGAUGGUACUUGCUCCACGCGGAGCCGGGAGAGUAGGAAAUCACUGGGA